GAUCUGGGUCUCCACCUCAUUGAUGGUUCUGGCGAUGGUUGUCAGCAGCAACUCCCAUCCAACACGAAUAUGCUACCAAGGAAAAGAGGGAAGCAUCAGCUCUAGGAUUUCCCAGCCUGUCAACCUUGGCUCUUCAUUUUCACAAAAGAGUCAAUCCAAAUGAAGUGCUGGAGAUCAAACUCAGGGCCUCAGGCAUGCUAGAGAAGUGCUGUACCACUGAGCUAAACCCCAGCCAAUAAUGAUGUUGUGAUAACCCUAACUAUGCCAUGGUGCUUGAUGGAGUUCACAAAGCUUCUCCACAUACAACCUACAGAAGUACCUAUCGUUUGCUGCCUUAUUUAUACCUCCAAACCACCAGGAAAACAUCUGUACUCCUCAAAAAGAAAAGGCACAGAAAACAGCUUUUUACCACAAGGCUACAACAAUUUCCACUUAUCAAAACUGUUGCUUCACCCGAAGGGAGGAGGAUUGCCCUGAGUUUGUGAGGCUAGCUUGGGGCUAUACAGUGAGCUCAAGGCCAGCCUGAACUACAUAGUGAGACUCUGUCUCAAAACAACAACAACAACAUGUUCAGGCUGUCACCCCAUGCCUUGGAGUACAAUCAAGAAACACCAACAACCAUCCUUUAGAUGACAGCUAGUGUGCAGGAAGUACACAUGCUGACUUACUUACAGUGUGGUUACAUCCCAAUAAGCCCAUCAUAGUUUGAAAAUAUCCUAAGUUGAAAGUGCAUGGAACAUACCUAAUCUACCAGACAUCACAGCUUAGCAACAUAGCAUAUUACAAAGGAGCAGUUGUUUCCCAUGUGAUUGUGGGGCUGAUCAGGAGCUGCUGCUGCCUAGUACCACAUGAGAGGACUACCUCAACUCAAUCACUAGUCUAGGAAAAGAUCAAACUUCAGAAUUCAAAGUAUGUGUCCUACUGAACGUGUAUCACUUUUGUACUGUCAUAAAGUUAAAAACUCCUAAGGUAAAGCAUCUAUAAGUCAGGGGCUGUCUGCAAUUCUCAACACUCAGAGGCAAAUCCUAGUAGACUGCUCCUUGGUAAGGAGGUAGUGUUUCAAAUACAUAUAUCUAAGACAGAUGGAUAGAGAUACAUAGAUAGAUAGAUGACAAUCUCUACACAGUAGGAGUACAGUCACAGUGUCCAAUUACCUGGAUCUCCUCAAUGCUGUGGACAAUAAACAUGUCCUGCAGGUCCUCCAUAGCGCCUUCCAUCCAGUUGUUGAAGGGAGCAGCUCUCUUUGCAAACUCCAAGUGCAAUUGAUCAAUGGUUUCUAGUAACUUCUCAGUCCUCUGGAGAUUAGUUAAAUGGAAGCAAGUGUUAUCAUAGAUUAAAUAGUAAAAAGUUUCUGAUGUACAAAUGUAAAUAUGUAUCCCAGAAAAACAGUGUUAAAUGAUGUUUAGCAUGUGUCUACAAAAGAUUACCUGAUGCUCAAAUAGGUGGAGUCCUAGGGCCUCUAAGGGGCCUUUUA